CGCCCACCCCUCAACCACGUGCACCGCCCCGCUGUGUCACCCCCUCCCGCCCGGCCUCUUCUGGAAAACUGCGUCUGUGCUCCUAGGGGCAGGAAGAAGGGCCAACCGAGCGGGGGUAAGGAAUUAGGAAGGCCUGGAGGAGGGGGAUUUCUCCUUUGAGUUGGAAGUCGUACCCAGCGGGAGGAGCGAUUGUCCCUGCUCCUGUGAGGGUUGGAAAGUUGGCCUCUGCGCUUUGACGCAGGCGAAGUCUUUGGAGACCCCCUGGGAGCUGGGCCAGCCGCGGGUACCUGAGGAGUGCCCCAGGUGGUUUCAUGUUCACGUCCUUCUAACACCCUCUUUACUCACACGUUUUUGUUGAGGGCCUACUGUAUCCAAAGGCCCCUGCCAGGGCUGUGCUCUGUCAGAAAUCCUGAUUAAGCACAGGAUCCUUAUAGAGCUAGCUUGUAAGAGGAGUGAUGGCGAACAGCACAGUUGAGAGCCAUAAGCCCCACAGGUUGUACUAACAAAGAAUAAGGAGGAAAUUUGGAAAAUAUCUAUUCCCGAGUAAUGAUCAUCCACCAGAUAUUUUGCACACAUAAACUUUCCUUCACAAAUUGUGAUACAAGUUUUUAAAGUAGUAUUUUGUAGAAAAUACAGUGAAGCUCAGUCUGUCUAUAUAACUCAUCCUGGUUUCAGUAGAUAAAUUCUUACCCUUCCAAACUUGGCCUUUUUUUUUUUUUCUGGGAAUUGAACCCAUGGGUGCUUACCAAUGAGCCAUAUCCCUAAUCCUUUUGAGGAUUUUAUUUAGACACAGGGUUUCACCAAGUUGCUUAAGGCCUUGCUAAGUUGCUGAGUCCGGCUUUGAACUUGCGAUUCUCCUGCCUCAGCCUCCCGAGCUGCUAGGAUUACAAUAGUAGGCCGUGGUCCCAGGCCCCCUUGGUCUAUUUUGAAAUAUCUGUGACCUUUGCAUCAUGCAAGACUUUAUCUCCAUUCUUCUCAGAAUUGUCACACAAUAGCUUGAAAACUCAUCUCCUGUGAUCUUGGACUUUCCUAAUCUGACAUCCCCUAAAACGCUGACUGGCUUUCACUUUACCCAGAACUCUUUUUGAUAAAGUCAUAAAUCUUCCACCCCUGAUGAGAUGCUGCCACAAUUUGUCUCCAUGGUACAACUACCCUGGCUAGUACAAUAGGAUACACACUAAAGCUGGAGCCAUUGUGUUGCUCAGUGUCAACCAUUCAUACUUUUGUUUAGGAUGUUCCCUCUGCCUGAAAAAUGGUCAUGUCUCCUAAAUACUAAAAUUCUACCUACCUCUCAAGGCCCAGUUCAAAUCCCACUUGCUUCUAGAAAUUGUCCCCAACUCAUUUUUGUAAUUCAUCUUUUCUGCCCAUACUUCUGACACUCUUUUGUUACCUUUCUUUCCAUCACAUGUUCCUACUACACCUACAUUAUUUCUAAGUCGGUUUUUCCUGCUAUAAAGAUACAGCUCAAGAACCAUCUUAGCUGAUAUAAUUAUGUCCCAAAUAUUUCAUCCAAUAUUAUUUGUAGUACAUUUGAAAUUCAAGCUUAUCUCCAGAUCCUUAUAUUUGCUAAAUCUAAAUCUGGCAGACCUACCUUAAUUCCAACACAUAGGUUCAUAAGGCUGACGGGUAUAGCAACGGUAAAAUUCUAGCUGACCACCAGUUCUCUUAAGUAAUCAGCCACUGUUCUUUCGACAUUGGUUGGUUGCUAAUGUUCAUGUACCUUCAACACACUAAUUAGAUAAACAGUCAAAUCUAAAGGAAUCAUCAUGGGCUGGACCUUAAGAUUUUGAGAUGUCUUUAUAAGAAAUGUCUUCAAUACCAGAGGAUAACUGGCCUAAUCUUAUCAUUUCUCUUCAGAAAGUAUUGAUUGUGAAACACACUGAGAAAGAAAAUAGAAACAAAAGCAGAUGUAAAAGCAGAGGGAAUAAAGGGAGAAGAUGAUGCAUUAGAGUCUCUCAGGUAAUAACCAUGAGUGUCAGGAUGGUGGGUCUGUACUCCAGAGCCUCACCCCAGCAGUCGAGGUGACCCCCAUUUACCAGGUGAUUGACAUGGUGUUAUGGUUUGGAUGCAUUUUUGUGUUGGAUGCUUGGUCUUCAGUGUGGUGGUGGAACCUUUGAGAGGUAGAGCCUAAUGGGUCAGGGACAGAGUUGAUGAGGUCAUUGCAGGCACUGUCCUUAGUUCUCAGGGGGACCCUGGUUCUUUUAAAAGUGACUCAAUAAAAGAUCAAGCCUCACCCUGAAUUCAUCUCUGGCUUCCUGUCUUUCCAUGUGAUUUUUUUUUUUCCUUCUCUCAUGUGUUCCUGCCAUAAUGCCAUCUACUGUGACAUGGUGUAGCCAAGGGGAGUCUUACUAGAAGCUGAAUCAGUGGGACCUCAUAUUGGAAUCUCUAAAGCUGUGAGCUACACAAAUCUCUUUUCUUUAUAAAGUAUGUCAAAUAUCUAAUCUCAGGUAUUUUGUUAUAGAUACAAAAAAUGAACUAAUACAAAUAGCUUCUUUCUUUGUUUUCUUUUGUCAUGUUCCUCCCCCCGACCCAGUGGUAGAGAUUGAACAGAUUGAACAUAAGGCCUCUUAGGCAACUGCUCUACUACAGAGCCACACUCCCAUCCCCCUUUGUUCUCUUUUUAAUAUAGCAUUCAGGCUUGAACUCUAGCCUUACUUCUCUCUAGGGCUUCUUUUUUGAUUCUCAAGAGACUGUUUGAGCCAGAUAUGGUGGUGCACACCUGUAAUGCCAGUGACUCAGGAGGCUGAGGCAGGAGGAUUGUAAAUUCAAGACCAGCCUCAGCAACUUACAAAGGCCCUAGACAAUUUUUGAAGAUUCCAUCUCAAAAUAAAAAAUAAAAAUGCCUGUGGAGGUGGCUGGCUCAGUGGUUAAGCACUCCUGGGUUCAAUUUUUAGUACCAAAAAAAAAAAAGAAGAAGAAGAGGAAGAGAGAGAGAGAGAGAGAUUGUUUGAAAUUUUACCCUACAUUUCAACCUGGUCAUCCUAAUUCUCCUGCUCAGACUCUGAAAACACUAUUACACUGAACUGAAACCCCCUAGUUCACCUACUUAGUCAACAACUUUUGUUAAAUGCAAACUGUAUCUAUGGCACUGCGCUUGGUCUGUUGGACCUGUACAAAUGAACACAGUAACACUUCCUUCAAAAAGCUAAGAUGCAGAGGAUUAAGGGAUUAAUUUGGAUAAAGUAAGAAAAGAAACUAGUUGGCAUGAGAUUGUGAAGUGAUGGUGGGGGAAUUUAAGAACAAGCACCCAUAUGGCUUCAAUCUUGUGAGUUCCUGUGAAGCAAAUGAUGUGCGAGGAAAAGGGGCUUCAGUUGUUGGAAAACAUUAGAAAGUAUCACUGUGGGGAAUGCCAAAGUGGAAUUCCACAUAUUUCUUUCCCAAUAUCCCUAAAUCAGGGUUGAGUGCUGAAACCUGAAAGGGCCUGUCAUCUUUGACAUAAAAUAUAGACUGAGUUUUGCAUCAUAUCAAAGCAUAAUACUUUAUAACUAAAAGCAAUGACUGCUGCUCUCCUCCCCUGACCAUAAGUUCUAUCAUAACCAGCUCUGAUUUUCUAACCCCUUCUGUUAAAAUGAAGACCUCCACUACAAGUAGAAAACAAACAAAAAGAAGUGGAAGAAGGAAAAGAAGAUGAGCUGCAUGUUUUAUAUACCUUGUUUUUUCUAACACUCAAAAUAAUCUUUGA
rnacentral:lncRNA from 1 species